ensembl:snRNA U6 U6 spliceosomal RNA
GUGUUCGCUUAGCAGCACAUAUACUAAAAUUGGAACAACACCGAAAAGAUUAGCAUGGCUCCUGCGCAAGAAUGACACGCAAACUUGUAAAGCAUUCCUUAUUAAA